GGAAUAUUGGUCAAUGGACGCAAGUCUGAACCAGCCAUGCCGCGUGGAGGGUGAAGGUCCUCUGGAUUGUAAACUUCUUUUAUAUGGGACGAAAAAAGGCUUUUCUAGGUCGUCUGACGGUACCAUAUGAAUAAGCACCGGCUAACUCCGUGCCAGCAGCCGCGGUAAUACGGAGGGUGCAAGCGUUAUCCGGAUUCACUGGGUUUAAAGGGUGCGUAGGUGGGUUGGUAAGUCAGUGGUGAAAUCUCCGAGCUUAACUUGGAAACUGCCAUUGAUACUAUCAGUCUUGAAUAUUGUGGAGGUCAGCGGAAUAUGUCAUGUAGCGGUGAAAUGCUUAGAUAUGACAUAGAACACCAAUUGCGAAGGCAGCUGACUACGCAUAUAUUGACACUGAGGCACGAAAGCGUGGGGAUCAA
rnacentral:rRNA from 1 species